rnacentral:rRNA from 1 species
AACGAACGCUGGCGGCGUGCCUAACACAUGCAAGUCGUGCGAGAAAGUUCCUUCGGGGAGCGAGUAAAGCGGCGCACGGGUGAAUAACACGUAGGUAACCUCGCCCCCCAGUCUGGAACAACUAGAGGAAACUCUAGCUAAUGCCGGAUGAGACCACGAUCCCGUUCGGGGUUGCGGACCAAAGAUGGCCUCUACUUGUAAGCUAUCGCUGAGGGAUGGGCCUGCGGGCCAUUAGCUUGUUGGUGAGGUAACGGCUCACCAAGGCUGUGAUGGCUAGCUGGUCUGAGAGGAUGACCAGCCACACUGGGACUGAGACACGGCCCAGACUCCUACGGGAGCAGCAGUGGGAAUAUUGCGCAAUGGGCGAAAGCCUGACGCAGCGACGCCGCGUGGGGUGAUGAAGGCCUUC